rnacentral:piRNA from 1 species
UGUGGUCCCUUUAAAUGAUAUGGAAGG